rnacentral:rRNA from 1 species
GUGUCAGCCGCCGCGGUAAUACGGAGGGUGCGAGCGUUGUCCGGAAUCACUGGGCGUAAAGGGCGCGUAGGCGGCUCUCUAAGUCACUUGUGAAAUCCUGGGGCUCAACUCCAGGGCUGCAGGUGAGACUGGAGGGCUAGAGCUCGGUAGAGGCGAGUGGAAUUCCCGGUGUAGCGGUGGAAUGCGUAGAUAUCGGGAAGAACAUCGGUGGCGAAGGCGGCUCGCUGGGCCGAUGCUGACGCUGAUGCGCGAAAGCGUGGGGAGCAAACAGGAUUAGAUACCCCGGUAGUCC